UCCCGCCGGAAGCGCCAGGACAAUGGGGACCCGGGACGACGAGUACGAUUACCUAUUCAAAGUGGUGCUUAUUGGGGACUCAGGUGUAGGUAAGAGCAACCUGCUGUCACGCUUCACCAGAAACGAGUUCAACCUAGAGAGCAAGAGCACCAUUGGAGUGGAGUUUGCCACUCGCAGCAUUCAGGUGGACGGCAAGACCAUCAAGGCUCAGAUCUGGGAUACUGCUGGCCAGGAGCGCUACCGUGCCAUUACCUCUGCGUACUACCGUGGUGCAGUGGGUGCACUGCUGGUAUAUGACAUUGCCAAGCACUUGACAUAUGAGAAUGUGGAGCGCUGGCUGAAGGAGCUGCGGGAUCAUGCAGAUAGCAACAUUGUUAUCAUGCUGGUGGGCAACAAGAGCGACCUGCGCCAUCUUCGGGCUGUGCCCACUGACGAGGCCCGUGCCUUUGCAGAAAAGAACAACUUGUCCUUCAUUGAGACCUCAGCCUUGGAUUCCACCAAUGUAGAGGAAGCAUUCAAGAACAUCCUCACAGGUGGGCCAGGGUCUGGGUGGGUAUAAGGUUAUGCCUAUUUUAGGAGCACUGUAGGCCCAGUGUAGCCCUUCCUUGCCCCCACAGAGUCAUGACACAUCUAGCCUUUGCUGGCAUGGGCUCAGAGUUCCUCACCUAAGUCCCUGUGAUAUAGGCCCUUCUGGGGCUGUAGGGGAAGGAAGGAACAAGCAGUAUGGGCUAGGUAGGACCAGCUCUGUGCCCUGUUCCUGCCCCUGCCCACUUGGCUGUGCCCGGAGUCCAGCUCUGAAUUCUGUUUUACCGUGAUGUGGUUGGGUUCCUUCCAGCAUGGUGGGGAAUUGUCUUUGUUUCCUACCGCUGUGAUAAAAUACUCUUUAAAAAAGGGCAAAUUCAGCAUUUAUUUUGGCUGACAGCUCAGGGAGCUCAAGGUACUUACGUAGCUGGUCUCGU
rnacentral:lncRNA from 1 species